UACGUAGGGUGCAAGCGUUACUCGGAAUUACUGGGCGUAAAGCGUGCGCAGGCGGUUAUGUAAGCCAGUUGUGAAAUCCCCGGGCUCAACCUGGGAACUGCAUUUGUGACUGCAUAGCUAGAGUACGGUAGAGGGGGAUGGAAUUCCGCGUGUAGCAGUGAAAUGCGUAGAUAUGCGGAGGAACACCGAUGGCGAAGGCAAUCCCCUGGACCUGUACUGACGCUCAUGCACGAAAGCGUGGGGAGCAAACAGG
rnacentral:rRNA from 1 species